GUAUGUAGUCACUUCUCCCUAUUCUUUAUUGGCCAGAUGGAGCUCAUGUCCACUUCUGAACCAAGAGACUGAGAUCACAACACAAUCCAAUUGCUGAAAAGAAACCAACCAACAAAGAAAGCACCAACAAAGAAAGGGAUAUGACUAUUCAUACUGUUUCUGCAGUGUGGUCACACAUAUCCCAGGUUUGCCUUGAACUUUCUGGGUAGCUGAGGAUAACCUUGGACUCCUGAUCACUCUUCCUCCAUUUAUUACAGGCAUGAAAAUCCCAUUUGAGGAUAAAGGGGAAGGAAGGAGGGGAGUGGAACCAAUCAGUCCUAUGGCUCCCAAGCAGGGCAGUCAUUAUCAGAGAGAGACUGGAAUGCAUGGAGCAGCAUUCUAUCUGCA